CUGAUUUCGAUUUCCUUUCUUUCCUCGAUGUCUGCCGCACCUUGUUUCGCCUCCUCCAUUCAUCUCGACGCCAUGGUUCUGCUGCUCCAUAACAAUGCAUUAUGAACCUGCCACUCCCAUAUGCAAACACCUACCCUUCCCUCCAACCUACACCCCUCCAUCAAUGGCCAUCGUUGUGCCAAAAACAAUCUGUGGUGGAUGUCGCAAUGCUUAUUAUCCAAUUAGGGUGAAAAUUCCUUCCUACAGGCAACCGUGGCAAAAUUGGGGCCUCUCCCUCGUGUUCUUGCUGAUAUUACCAAGUCAUUGACUAAUCCUACGCCAAUACAACAGCAACUAAGACGCUUCACUGAACAUAACUCCAGUCCAAAUGUCAGUGGAAGCCUCUCCUCUGGGCUGCAGAAAAUAUUUGAAGACCCCACUGACAGUGAUUUGCAUAAACUAAAAUCUCCAAGCCAGGACAACACAGACGGCUACUUCAGAGGGAAAACAUUAUUGCUGGUUCAGCAAGCCUCCUCUCAGAGCAUGACUUAUUCUGAAAAGGAUGAAAGGGAAAGUAGCCUUCCUAAUGGUCGGAGCGUCUCCCUCAUGGACCUCCAGGACACUCAUGCUGCUCAAGUGGAGCAUGCAUCUGUCAUGCUUGAUGUGCCUAU
rnacentral:sRNA from 1 species